CGCAAUCUUCUUUCUAAAGUACUCGACAUGACUAGCGUUAAACUCCAAUCUAAGCCCGAACAUUAAAUACAUCGUAACCAUCAAUACAAAAACACCGCAAUCGCCAGUUCCGGGCUCUUGUUGUGGCGCGCUCUUAACUGCCAUAACUUUCCAGGGGUCUGCACUCCGCAACUCAGGUCAGAUGUUGUAGAAGCCAACAUAUUCCAACCAUCGAGGGAAUAUAACUUCAAGUGGCUUGAAUUUCAACUUGUACCUUUUGUUGUCGCGAAAUGUGAGUAAUG
rnacentral:lncRNA from 1 species